rnacentral:rRNA from 1 species
UACGUAGGGGGCUAGCGUUGUCCGGAAUCAUUGGGCGUAAAGCGCGUGUAGGCGGCCCGGUAAGUCCGCUGUGAAAGUCGGGGGCUCAACCCUCGAAUGCCGGUGGAUACUGUCGGGCUAGAGUACGGAAGAGGCGAGUGGAAUUCCUGGUGUAGCGGUGAAAUGCGCAGAUAUCAGGAGGAACACCAAUUGCGAAGGCAGCUCGCUGGGACGUCACUGACGCUGAGACGCGAAGCGUGGGGAGCAA